GGUCGUGUAGUGUAGCGGUUAUCACGUCAGCUUUACAUCUAGAUGUAUACACGCGCUGAAUGUCGUCAGUUCGAACCUGGCCACGAUCA